AGAAACUAGUUGGCUUUCAAGAUGUUGCUUCUCUGAUUUUUUUUUUCAAAGGAAAUGCAUACUGUACACAUGAGAGACUCCAAGGCUAAGAGAUGCCGUGGCAGUUGAGAUGCACCUGGAGCUCCUAACUGCUCCUGCCCCUGCUUCAGGGGCUGGGCCCGCCGCCCCUGCACACAGCCCUCCCUCCUCGGCAGGCGGGCAGAGCAGCCGGUCCGGCCACUGCGCCGCCAGCCUCAUCUCCUCCCCCCCGAAGAGCUCUUCCUUCUCUCCAGGCAGAGGCUUUCCUGGUCUCUGGUGCACCUCUCCCACCCCCACCCGGGACCGGACGAGGUGGCCGUCCUCGGUGUUGGCUGCGCUUCUCUCUUCAAGGCACGAGCGUGGAGGACCUGCCUGCCCUGUUUUAUAAACUCCUAGCCCUUGCGCCCUUCACCGGAGCUCAGGACGGGGCCAGCCGCACUCGGCAGAGAGAGUUUUCAACCCCUUGGCUCCCGAGUUUGUCUCUGCAGCCUCCUCGCUACACAUAAGCCCAGAUAAACCUCCGGUCAGGAGCAGGCUGCUCAGCCGAAAGGGCUCUCGGAGCCCACCCCUCUGCCCGCCUCAUCAGCCCGAGCUGCUGCAGGAACGCACAGGCAGCUGCCCGGCGGGGAGGGGGCGCCCCAGGCAGCGGGGGUCGUGACGGGAAGCAUGAGCAUCUCAGUAUAGAGAAAAACAUGAUGCGCUUCCCCCCAGGUAACUCUUAGCCAACUCGGAGGCCAAGGCAGGCCCAGCCCCGCCCCGCCCUGUCCCGGCCAGCUGCCGUCCCGCUGUGCCCCGCGGAGGGGCGCUCCUGCCGCGCUGGGGGUGGAGUAGUCACGGGCCCACGGGGGCUGCGGGGAGGUGUGAUGUCUGGUCUGGCUCACGGCCCUUGACACUCUGUAGCUAUUUUAAACGGAUCCCACAGCCUUUCAUUUGCUUCACUAAUUUCUCUAAAAUAGAAUUGUUUAUUUGUGGGUCAAAAUUGGAGAAGCUUCUUAUUCAUCACCAAACUUCUCUUUGAUGAGCCUGGAGACAAGUACCAGAGCUCAGAAGGGCUUGGCCCCUAGAAAGCGCUCCGUGACCGUUAGCCCACGGCGCACAGCGUCUCUGACUCCCCAGAACCAACGUGGGCCCCUCAGUCUGCAGGAACCAAGCUGAUGGAGCCACUGCUGUCUCGAACGUGGAUGACUGUUAUGGCGGAAGCAACAGUGAUGUGGUGAACCGUGUGCUGGCUCCCACAAGCUUCUGCCAGGAAGGGAUCCAUGUCAUUUCCAGUCACAUUUUAUUGGCUAAGGACUACUGAAGAGCCGAGAAAACCCUAGGAUCAAUGGUGAAAAACCAAAGUCUGGAACGGCCACCUAACACAUAAAAGUAAAGAUCUUCUGGAAUUUUUCUUGCCUCAAAAGCUGUUGCUAAGAGUCCUUACUCUUUAUAGAGAUGUCCUGAAAUAUUUAUAGAAGAAGUGAUACGAUAUUUGAGAUUUACUUCAAAACAGGUG